rnacentral:lncRNA from 1 species
AGUUAGUUUCAAAAUGUAGAAGUCAAGUUCACAUGCUUAAACCACCAACAUAUUGUUAGGACGCAAUUUGUUUUUUCAACUUUCUAAGUUUAGUUUUUCUCUUCAAUAACUUUAUCGCAUUUGAUGAUUUUAUCCCUUUUGAGGUCCUGAGGUUAAAAUCCGUUAAAGACUACUUUAGAAACUUGUAAAAUUUAUAUCAACACUUUAGUUAAUAAUUAAUUUACUCAGAGACAUUCACCUCUUAGGCUAUAUGAAUGUCUUUACAAAGAAUAUGAAAGAUGGGUGCAGAUACACAAGAAUUCAGAUUUUUAAAUGAAGGGGGCAAAAAAGUUCAUUACUAAAUCCAUGCUAUUAUUCUUAGAUCCUGCUACUUAAGAGAAUAAAAUAUUGAAUGCGUUAUGUUAACGAUAAAUGGGUGUCCGUAAAAUUCAGAUUGACUAUUAAAUUUCUUAUUUUACUCAUUACUCACUAGUUUUCCUCGAAAGAAAACAGGUAUGUGAGUCGUACCGGUUUGUAUGUUGGAUUUUUAAAAGCUUAGAAAAGAAGCUGAAGAAGGGAAGCCGAAUUUUUCUGACGUGAAUCUAUCUUUUUAAUUAAUGGGCAUUAAACUACUUCUCAUUAUAUACUAAUUUUACCAUCUGAUAUCAUUCCAAGACGGAGCUGAAGUAGUGAAGUUGUGUCUUUUCCUGAAUCCAGACGAAAAGCUAAGCAUUUCGUUAAAUAAGGAUACAUCCAGCAGCUACUCACAUCACACAGACAUGGCUUUCAUGAAGGUAAGACCUGCCAGUUCCUAACCUCAAAAGUGAUGAUCUUUUUAUCUUUUUUAUAGCACGGCUUUUUCCAAUUGAAGCUCCUCUGUAGAAAACUGAGCAAAAAUUAUGAGCGAGCGCCCCAAUUUUGGGAAUUGCCGGAGAGAUGAAGAAAUUCAUAUGCUGAGAUGAAUGAAACAGCAAGUUUUUUUUAUCGAAACUUGAUUUAUAUACCCUAAACAAAAUUAUUGAGUGAUGUGUUGAUAAAAGUAAAGAUUUCAGUUCCUGUUACAAGAUUCUGGAAAAUCAGUCGCUCUGUUAAGAGAUCCCUCCAUUUGACAAUUUGUCAAAAAUGUCUCUCAACAUUUUAUGCAUCAUAACUAUCUUUAAUAUUUCAACAUUCUUAUGAGAUGUCCGGGGGAUCUUUUUCAGUUCAGUAUAGAGAACCUAUUUUU